GUUACAGGGGGGGGGGGGACACACAUUUUACCACUUUGGAAGUGUCUCUCGCGCAAACUAUUCAGUUUAGAAAAACAUGAUAUUAGAAACCUCAAUAUCAUUUUUGAAGACCUAUCCAUAGAUACCCCACACGUAUGGGUAUGAUGAAAAAAAAAUUUUUGAGUUUCAGUUCGAAACGUAUAAAAAAAAACUACUUACUAGAUCUCGUUCAAACCAAUUUUCGGUGGAAGUUUACAUGGUAAUGUACAUCAUAUAUUUUUUUUAGUUUUAUCAUUCUCUUAUUUUAGAAGUUACAGGGGGGGGGGACACAUUUUACCACUUUGGAAGUGUCUCUCACGCAAACUAUUCAGUUUAGAAAAAAAUGAUAUUAGAAACCUCAAUAUCAUUUUUGAAGACCUAUCCAUAGAUACCCCACACGUAUGGGUUUGAUGAAAAAAAAAUUUUUGAUUAAUCUCUAACAAGUAUUAAAAAAA